AGUGAACGCUGGCGGUAGGCCUAACACAUGCAAGUCGAACGGCAGCACAAUAAGAGCUUGCUCUUACGGGUGGCGAGUGGCGGACGGGUGAGGAAUACAUCGGAAUCUACUUUUUCGUGGGGGAUAACGUAGGGAAACUUACGCUAAUACCGCAUACGACCUACGGGUGAAAGCAGGGGAUCUUCGGACCUUGCGCGAUUGAAUGAGCCGAUGUCGGAUUAGCUAGUUGGCGGGGUAAAGGCCCACCAAGGCGACGAUCCGUAGCUGGUCUGAGAGGAUGAUCAGCCACACUGGAACUGAGAAACGGUCCAGACUCCUACGGGAGGCAGCAGUGGGGAAUUUGGACAAUGGGCGCAAGACUGAUCCAGCCAUACCGCGUGGGUGAAGAAGGCCUUCGGGUUGUAAAGCCCUUUUGUUGGGAAAGAAAAGCAGCAGGUUAAUACCCCGCUGUUCUGACGGUACCCAAAGAAUAAGCACCGGCUAACUUCGUG
rnacentral:rRNA from 1 species